CCAACGGCCCUUUUCAGGGCCUCUAAAUUUUUUCGUAAAGUUCUACU
rfam:Octopus bimaculoides Scaffold12729_contig_17, whole genome shotgun sequence.